GAAAGUAAAGAAGGGCGCAUGGCGGAUGCCUUGGCUCUCGGAGGCGAUGAAGGACGUGAUAAGCUGCGAUAAGCUUUGGGGAGGUGCAAAUGACCUUUGAUCCAGAGAUUUCCGAAUGGGACAACCCAAUAUCUUGAAGAGGUAUUAUCUUACUAUGUAAGAGGCUAACGCAGGGAACUGAAACAUCUUAGUACCUGCAGGAAAAGAAAAUAAACAAUGAUUCCCCCAGUAGUGGCGAGCGAACGGGGAACAGCCCAAACCAUCCAUGUUACGGCAUGGGUGGGGUUGUAGGACUACGCCGUUGCAUGAAGACAUCAGAGAAGAACUUUCUGGAAAGAAAGACCAUAGAGCAUGACAGUUGCGUAUUCGAAUGUUGUCGAAGCAUAGUAGUAUCCUGAGUAGCGCGGAGCACGAGGAAUUCUGCGUGAAUCUGCCGGGACCAUCCGGUAAGGCUAAAUACUCCCGAGAGACCGAUAGCGAACCAGUACCGUGAGGGAAAGGUGAAAAGCACUUCGAACAGAAGAGUGAAAUAGUUCCUGAAACCGUGCGCCUACAAGCGGUCGGAGCUCGUUAAUGAGUGACGGCGUGCCUUUUGCAUAAUGAACCUACGAGUUGCCUUUGCCGGCAAGGUUAAGUGUGACGACACACGUAUCCGAAGCGAAAGCGAGUCUGAAGAGGGCGUAUAGUCGGCAGUGGCAGACGCGAAACCAAGUGAUCUACCCUUGGCCAGGUUGAAGGCUGGGUAACACCAGCUGGAGGACCGCACCAAUAAGCGUUGAAAAGCUUCUGGAUGAGCUGAGGGUAGGGGUGAAAGGCUAAUCAAACUUGGAGAUAGCUCGUACUCCCCGAAAUGCAUUUAGGUGCAGCCUUGCGGGUUACUGAUGUGAGGUAGAGCGACUGAUAAGAUGCGAGGGCUUCACCGCCUAUCAAGUCUUGACAAACUCCGAAUGCGCAUCAGUUCUACCGCAGGAGUGAGGGCAUGGGUGCUAAGGUCCGUGCCCGAGAGGAGAAGAAUCCGGACCACCUGCUAAGGUCCCGAAAUGACAGCUAAGUUAAACUAACGAAGUCUGACUGCUAAGACAGCUAGGAUGUUGGCUUGGAAGCAGCCAUUCAUUUAAAGAGUGCGUAACAGCUCACUAGUCGAGGAGUCGGGCGUGGAUAAUAAUCGGGUAUUAAGUUGUCUACCGAAGCAGUGGGAUCAUUAAUAUGAUCGGUAGGGGAGCAUUCCAGUCAGCGUCGAAGGCGUACCGUGAGGUAUUCUGGAGCGUCUGGAAAAGCAAAUGUAGGUAUAAGUAACGAUAAAGGGGGCGGGAAACCCCCUCGCCGAAAGACUAAGGUUUCCUGAUCAACGCUAAUCGGAUCAGGGUCAGUCGGGUCCUAAGGCUCAGCCGAACGGCGAUGCCGAUGGCAGAAACGGUUAAUAUUCCGUUACUACCUUCAGGAGUGACGUGGAGACGCAGUAGUGACAGUGCCGCCAUCUGACGGAAUAGAUGGUUGAAGGGUGUAGGAGUCGAUCAUGGCAGGCAAAUCCACCAUGAGAUCCGAACCUGAUAGUAUGCCGCGUCCUUCGGGACAAGGCAAUAGUGCGCGUAAGCAUGCUGCCGAGAAAAUCCGCUAAACUUAAUCCUGGAGGUACCCGUACCGCAAACGGACACACGUAGUCGGGAUGAAUAUUCUAAGGCGCUUGAGUGAUUCACGGUUAAGGAACUAGGCAAACUGACCCUGUAACUUCGGGAUAAAGGGUCCCUACCCUUUUAUGGGAGGGCGCAGAGAAUCGGUCCAGGCAACUGUUUAACAAAAACACAGGGCUGUGCCAAAUCGAAAGAUCCAGUAUACAGCCUGACACCUGCCCGGUGCUGGAAGGUUAAGAGGAGAUGUCAUCGAUAAGAGAAGCGUUGAAUUGAAGCCCCAGUAAACGGCGGCCGUAACUAUAACGGUCCUAAGGUAGCGAAAUUCCUUGUCGGGUAAGUUCCGACCUGCACGAAUGGUGUAAUGAUCUGGACGCUGUCUCAACCGUGAGCUCAGUGAAAUUGUAGUAUCGGUGAAGAUGCCGAUUACCCGCGAUGGGACGAAAAGACCCCGUGAACCUUUACUAUAGCUUAUCAUUGAAUCUGGGCACGUGAUGUGUAGGAUAGGUCGGAGGCUUUGAAGCAGGUACGCCAGUAUUUGUGGAGCCGCUGUUGAAAUACGACCCUUUAUUUGUUUGGAUUCUAACCCGUGGAUACGGGGACAUUGAUUGGUGGGUAGUUUGACUGGGGUGGUCGCCUCCAAAAGCGUAACGGAGGCUUCUAAAGGUGCCCUCCGGCCGAUUGGUAACCGGCCUUAGAGUGUAAUGGCAUAAGGGCGCUUGACUGGGAGACUAACAAGUCGAUCAGGUAGGAAACUAGAGCAUAGUGAUCCGGUGUUUCCGUAUGGAAGGGACAUCGCUCAAAGGAUAAAAGGUACUCCGGGGAUAACAGGCUGAUCCCUCCCAAGAGCUCAUAUCGACGGAGUGGUUUGGCACCUCGAUGUCGGCU
rnacentral:rRNA from 1 species